rnacentral:rRNA from 1 species
GGAUGGAUUUGAGUAAGAGCGUAUAGCCUCGGACCCGAAAGAUGGUGAACUAUGCCUGAAUAGGGUGAAGCCAGAGGAAACUCUGGUGGAGGCUCGCAGCGGUUCUGACGUGCAAUCGAUCGUCAAAUUUGGGCAUGGGGGCGAAAGACUAAUCGAACCAUCUAGUAGCUGGUUACCGCCGAAGUUUCCCUCAGGAUAGCAGUGUUGUUCUUCAGUUUUAUGAGGUAAAGCGAAUGAUUAGGGACUCGGGGGCGCUAUUUAGCCUUCAUCCAUUCUCAAACUUUAAAUAUGUAAGAAGCCCUUGUUACUUAAUUGAACGUGGGCAUUCGAAUGUACCAACACUAGUGGGCCAUUUUUGGUAAGCAGAACUGGCGAUGCGGGAUGAACCGAACGCGGGGUUAAGGUGCCAGAGUGGACGCUCAUCAGACACCACAAAAGGCGUUAGUACAUCUUGACAGCAGGACGGUGGCCAUGGAAGUCGGAAUCCGCUAAGGACUGUGUAACAACUCACCUGCCGAAUGUACUAGCCCUGAAAAUGGAUGGCGCUCAAGCGUCCCACCCAUACCCCGCCCUUAGGGUAGAAACGAUGCCCUAAGGAGUAGGCGGCCGUGGGGGUCAGUGACGAAGCCUAGGGCGUGAGCCCGGGUCGAACGGCCCCUAG